rnacentral:lncRNA from 1 species
AUGGGGUCCACCAACCCGGCCCACCCAGCCAGGGAGGCAUACCUUUGGGGUCCGAAAGGAGAAGGUUCCUGGCUCCUGGGUGCUGACCGACGCCUCAAACUUGAGGAGGUCACUGCCCACAAGCAGUGGGGAGCCCUGCCAGACAGGCCAGUCAGGACACCCCGGCCGGGCCACCCCACCCCACCCCGCCCNNNNNNNNNNNNNNNNNNNNNNNNNNNNNNNNNNNNNNNNNNNNNNNNNNNNNNNNNNNNNNNNNNNNGGGCGCCGGAGCCCGCUGCACCACACAGCUCCCAGGCCACGGGGGCGUCCCCACCCAAGGAAAACUCUGCCACAGCGCAGUCCCCGCCUGGGCCCACGGACUGCUCCCUUCUGACCAGCACUUGCUGCCGGGGUUUUGAACGCGCAGGGCCCGUCCAAACGCCGCCCAUCCUCCCAGACAUCUCUGCCUCCCCCACACACUGGGCCUUGAGCGCCAAGCGGGGAUGGUUUCCCGUCUGCAGGGGCCAGGCCCGGAGUAAGCCCCACCCCCAGGCCUGGGCCCCGCAGCACCCUCACCUGCACCGUGUCCAGGUUCUUGCCCUGGAAGGUCACAUCCGUCUCGUGGUUCAUGGGGAUGACCAGCGGGCUGGGGUUCAGGAACUGGGGGCAGUCGUCCUCCUGGGGAGGGGGAGCAGGCAGGACCCCGCAGGGCCCUGCUCUGCAACGCAGCAGGCUGGCCCAGCGGCCCCAGACCCGGGCAGAAGGCCGGUGGCCGGAACUGUCCUGGCCUUUGGGGCAGAGGCCCCUGCCCAGACGCUGUGUUGACACAGGUGGCCGUCUGCAGAGCUGACAUCAAACCUCUUCCCUCUUUCUUCCUCUUCCUGAGCAGGGGCUUCAGCUGGCCCGCAUCAGGCAGAGAUCUGAGCUCAUCGCAGUGCCCCUCCUCCCGCACCCCCAGGGGAACUGCUGGCCACCUGCGCCGAGCGGCCUUGUCUCCACACCCAGAAGAGUCAAGUCCCGGGCAGGGCUGAUGCCAGCACCAGGGUCAGCACCUGGGUGACACCCAAAGGCCUCACUCGGUCCCUGCGUGCCCAGGCCCAGACUCAUCUAGCACCAGGAUGCGCCCCAUUUUAGAGGUCUCGUGAUCUCAGGGGCUAAGGACGUGGGCCCCAGGCCGAGCCCUCUCCCAGGUGCCCCGCCCCACCCCAGGACCACACCUCCUCUGCCCAGCACAGCCAGCCCACAGGGUGGAGAGUUGCCAGUGAUGGGGGAGCCGGUCUCCGAGAGAGGCGGCACGGAGCUGCAGAGGGGCUCCAGAGAGGCCCCGAGGGCAGGAACAGGGCCCCAGCGCCAGGGGAGGGGGCAGCCCUGGGCUCCUCCCAGGGACCAGAGGGGCAGAGCUGCGGGCGUGCGCACGGUCGCUCCGAGCUGCCCCUGAGGGUCUGGGUCCCGCCACUGUAUGGGCGUGUGAAUAUCACGGAGGCCAGCAGAGUCCUGGCGCCCCGGGCUCGGCACUGCAGGCAGGCCAGCGGGCCCUGCCCUGCCCUUCAGACGAGCAGCUGUG